rnacentral:lncRNA from 13 species
AUGGAGACUGAUAAGAGUCAUCAGAGAAGGUUGGGAAGAAUGGAGACUGAUAAGAGUCAUCAGAGAAGGGUGAGAGAGGCGUUUAUAUCAGACUGUAGCUGUCUGGCGAUUGGCCUGGCUGGAGUCAGGAAAGGGGUUGUGCAGGUCAGGAGCUGGGUGAACGUUGUCGUUGGCCGAUCCUGCACCUCCAAGCUGCGGGGCUCUGGUCCUGUAGCCUUCUCAUCCUCUUCCCUAGCCACACCCACCACGUUAGUCCUAUCAACACACACACCACCGACUCCACAUAGUAACCAUCCAACGACGUCACACACACACCGCCCUCCUUUACACACAGCUGUAGCGGGGAGGAGAGGGAGACAGAAAGAGACACUUUUAACACAAGUGUUUCCAAAAAAAUUCACAUCAUAGCUAUUCAAUGAACUACGACAUUAUAAAUGAGAUAUAAUUGUCAGGUAAUUCUCUCUCUCACAUACCCCAGCCUCCUCUGAGGAGCCACAGCUCUGUCCGGCGGCUCCCUGGCACUCCUUAGAGGUGAGUGGGUCAACCAUCCACAGUGCCAGGGUGGAGGGCCAAUUGCCCCCUAGGUUGGUGACCGUGUUCAGCAGGGUCAUGUAGG